rnacentral:rRNA from 1 species
UACGGAAGGUCCGGGCGUUAUCCGGAUUUAUUGGGUUUAAAGGGAGCGUAGGCCGUCUUAUAAGCGUGUUGUGAAAUGUCUGGGCUCAACCUGGGCAUUGCAGCGCGAACUGUGAGACUUGAGUGCGCAGGAAGUAGGCGGAAUUCGUCGUGUAGCGGUGAAAUGCUUAGAUAUGACGAAGAACUCCGAUUGCGAAGGCAGCCUGCUGUAGCGCAACUGACGCUGAAGCUCGAAAGCGUGGGUAUCGAACAGG